GACGAACGCUGGCGGCGUGCUUAACACAUGCAAGUCACGGGGGUUGGAGCAAUCCAGCAACCGGCGAACGGGUGCGUAACACGUGAGCGACCUGCCCAGUUGUGGGGGAUAGCCGGCCCAACGGCCGGGUAAUACCGCAUACGCGUCUUUGGGGGCAUCCCUGGGGACGGAAACCUACGGGGCGAUUGGAGGGGCUCGCGGCCUAUCAGCUAGUUGGCGAGGUAACGGCUCACCAAGGCGAUGACGGGUAGCUGGUCUGAGAGGAUGGCCAGCCACAUUGGGACUGAGAGACGGCCCAGACUCCUACGGGAGGCAGCAGUGGGGAAUCUUGCGCAAUGGCCGAAAAGGCUGACGCAGCGACGCCGCGUGGAGGAUGACGCCUCGU
rnacentral:rRNA from 1 species